rnacentral:lncRNA from 1 species
AUGACAGUUUCAAAUAUAUAUAUAUAUAUAUUUGUUAUGGGCAUCAUCUGUUGCAGGUUUGAAAGAGUCUCCACACAAAUAAAAGAAGAUUCUACGCUAUCAUGGUUUUUUCCAACGAAGUACUUUUCCUGCCCAGAGAAAUGUCUAAGUGUCUCUGAAAUGAAGGCUUAUACCUGGAGUAGAAACAACAUGCAAAAUGUUAAAAUUGUUCUCUCAACAAUCCAUCCCAUCUAGAUCCAUAAGUGAAAUGGAGAAAAUUCAUUUCCAAUUCCUGGAAAGCUCCAAGGUACUUGACUGCAGAAAAACUGAAACAUAAUUGUAUUCCUUUAAAUACCGUACCUACUGGUCAUCCAAGUCAGAUUUCAUAACAAUAUGACAGUUGUUUGUAGCUCGUGUGAAGAGAGUGGGUGGUCUCCAUGUGGACUGCAACAGCCUAUUGUUUCCAUCAUGAAAACACCAUUACAAUUGACGCUAAUCAGGCAUCCUUGUUUGCAAUCUUAUUAGAGAGAUCAAGGCAUGAAUGAAGAUGGAAAAAGAGCUAGCCUUCCAGGUCCAGGGGUGGCCCCUCCAAAACAGAGCUCAGGGCAAAGCUCAUGGAGAGGGCAGCAUGGGCAAAUGUAAGCUUUCAAGCUGUAUUUGUUUACUUUCUUCUUUCUAAGAAUGUUGAUAUUUUUCUUUAUUGGGAAAGGGGGGACCAAUGAAAAAUAAAUGAUGGGAAUUCUAAAAGGAGAUAAUUACCUUAAAUGCAAGUUUCUGAUUGGGUCAUGGCUCUCUAUUUAACUUAGUGGUUUAGUGAUUCCUAAAGGAAAUGAUUAUGUCUCUUUGUUCUUAAACAAAUAAUUUGUGUGUUCUUUAUCUCUGCAGCUGCUGAUAAUAUGAUAGGUACAACUCUAAGGAAUAAUUAUACCAAAUGGCCGUACGUACCUCAAAAGACAGAAUCCAUCUAUUAUGCAGAAUUCCCCACUGAAAUCUUAGAAAUCUUAUAUGCAUUGAUUGCUAGUUAGCAUUAGAAAGACUUUUGCAAGUUGAAUUCACAAAAGAAAAAAGGACUAUUUGCAUUAGGAAACAGGCAACAUAGGAUAGCUGAUAAGUACGUGGAGGAGUAAUGCAAUUAAUAUAGUUAUGUC